rnacentral:lncRNA from 1 species
GGUGUGACAAGGGAUGUUUAGUGCUUCACCUACAAGGAAGCAAUGCCACUGUUGCAUACUGAGGCCAUGAAGUGAUCAGUUGAGCAUACUUCUGACUACUUGUGUGGAUCCUUAUUGGUUGUAUAAGACUAAUUGCUAAUCUGUUUUAACUAGCAGAACUUAACUAGCCAUUUCCAGCCAGGAUGCAAGAGGAACAGUAAUUGCCUACACCAGCAUAAUUCAGUAUUAGAUACUAGGGAGCAUUGCAACAGAAAAAUCCUAAACUAAUGUUAGUUUUUUUUUUUUUUUUUUUUUUUUACUACAAAACAAGGUGUUCACUGACACAGAAACUAAGGACUGUGAUAAUAAAAGUGACUUGCCUUAGAUUAGAAUCCUUUGAGAUGAUGAAUAUGUUUGCCAAUUAAAAUAGUGUGGGAGGAAAUGAAACAAUUUAGUCAUGAAGAGGAAUAGGAAAAGUGCAGUGGUGCAAUUCAAAGAAGGAGGGGAGAAGGAUAAUGAUGAAAUCACUAGCUGAAUCUAGCUUCAAAAUUUAAGAAGAAUGUAGAGCCAAUCCCUUUUUCUGCUCAGAUUCUCUAAGAGGAAAUUGAAUGCAGCCCUCUGAAAUGUGAGGGGAAUUAGGCUGUGCUGAUAGAAAAACCUCAACAUGGAUAUCAGCCAGCAGUAUAGUAGAAAAAUAAGGUUUUGUGCCAAAAAUCAGACCAGAUAUUGAGUAAAAAGGCAACUUCAGCAUUGCACUUGUCCAGCUUGUUGACCGCCCUGAAUUCACAUUCAGCCUUGACUGAGUGCAGUCGUUAAAGAUCUAACACCUUUCUCAUAACAUUUUCAUGAAUAUGAAAAUGAGGAAUGCAUUUCAAGUGAUGAAUAGUAGUGCAACUAUUAGGAUUAAUAGUGUGACUGCAUUGUAUGUGCAGUGAUGUUGUCAAGAGUGCAUCAUCGAUUUGAGACUUCACUACAGGAUAAAAAGGCAACUCUCUUCUCUGGGACCAAGAGCAAAGUAUCACUGCUAAGGCUGCUGUAUUUGACGUUAUCAGCCAGGGGCUUGGGACUGAUGAUAGAUUACUAUAUGGUCUCCUACUGAAGAACAUACUUCUAUACCAACAGAGAUAAUCCUACAGUAAAUGAAGAUUGUGUAUCUCAAGCAAAUAGCAGUCCCACAUAAGAAUAGUUGACUCCUUGUGUAAUUACGCAAACACCUCCAUGCAGUUAGGACUGUGUUAAAGAAAUGUGUGAUCUGACAUUAGAGUAGUCAAUACUAAAUUAGUGCUGUGCCUGAAAAGUAAGGUAAAUUUCAGAGUUUUUCUAUUAUAAUUGGGUGCAAGUAUAACUUUUUUUUUUUUUUUUUUUUUUUUUUUUUAAAUUUAAUUAUUUUGAGAGGAAAAGGAGAGAGGAAUAGAAAUCAGACAACUUUUCAGUGCAUAUCGGCAAGGAAAAGUGAAGUUCUCUCAUCACCAGUAUUUUUAACUCAUAUAUGGUAAUUACUGAUUCUAAAAUGCUGUCUGUUGACUAUUCCUUGUAGGUUAGGAUUUUUUUUUUUCUUUUUCAGUGAGACAACUAAGAAGUUAUAAUACUUGUGACAUUUGGUUUUAGGGGGUUACGCAGAAUUUAGGUAUUUUCCAGAACAAAAUAUUUGCAGUAAUCAUUGAAACACAUUCGAACUCGAAGUUUUAUUCUAAAAUUUACCUUGCAAUAAAAGCAUUGCUGUAUAACUGAAGUAAAGAAAC